rnacentral:tRNA from 1 species
GGGGGUAUAGCUCAGUGGCAGAGUGCAUGCUUAGCAUGCACGAGGUCCUGGGUUCUAUCCCCAGUACCUCCA